AAGGAAGAAGAGAAAGCUUCCAUGUUAAUAUCUGUUGCUGAACAGAAACCAAUGGAGUUCAUUUAUAUUAUGAGCACCCGGCGAGUGAAUCCUGCCAAAAGAUACCAAACAGGCUGAGACUGACACUAAUAUUUACUGGGUGACAAUGACAUGGCUCAACAUACCUUUAAAAGAAACUGCUUGCUUUGAGAAUUGGGUAACUCCAUUCUAUGUAUGUAUAUCUAUAUUCAGUUUUGUUUAUACCAUUUGUACUUGUUCUAAUAAA